rnacentral:lncRNA from 1 species
UUUCCUAUAUAUUGUUUAUCCUAUUUUCUCCUCCUCUCCUCUAAUUAUAUAUAUAUAUAUAUAUUUUAAAAAUCAAGAAAGUAGGAAGUACACGCCCAUAUUUAUUGUUUUUUUUAGGACCUUUCCUAGUAAAAAGGCGAUAGUAUACUAAACUCACACACAGUUGUUAAAAGGUUUAUUUGGACCCAAAUUACAAUAUUAGAAAGAAGAAAAAAAUAAAAAAUAAAAAAUAGCACAAUGACUAGAACUCUAUUCUUGGACAAAAAGUGGCUAGUUGUUGCACAAAAGGUUGAAAGCUUAUUAACAAAGACACAUAAUUCAGUUGCUUGUAAGAAACAAAGGUAUAAUAUUUUAUUUUAUUUUUUUCCUCUUUUCUUUUUUCCCCUUUUGAUGAAAAAAGUAGAAUCAAUUAUCUUGGGCAUAUUGAAAGAUGAUGCAAAGCUUUUAAUACCUUUAACCACUGCCUAUAAACAUCGGUAUGUGUUACCUUUUCUUAUAUGCAACUUUGGUUUUGGUUAAGUCACCCAUCCAUGGCUCUGGCUCUGCUUCUGGGUACACAAAUUAGGGUCCCCACCCUUUUCAUUAAAACCCUCUUUUCUUUUUCUUUUUUCUUUUUUUUUUCCUUAUCUUUUCAUUCGGCAAGUACCUCUUCUUUCACUAACACUGUCAAACUCUCAACCAACCAACACCUUCACGAGCCAAUGACCCAUAAAGCCCAAUAAGGACUUGGGGUCCAUAGAGUAUUAAUUAUAAAUUUAUAAUACUGAGAAAAAGAAAAAGAAAAAAAAAAGAAAAAGAAAAGUACGGUAUUCAAUUGUUUUUAUUU